GCCAGGGUAGCUCAAUUGGUAGAGCAUCAGGCUAGUAUCCUGUCGGUUCCGGUUCAAGUCCGGGCCCUGGUUA
rnacentral:tRNA from 1 species